rnacentral:rRNA from 1 species
CAGAGGGUGCGAGCGUUUAAUCGGAAUUACUGGGCGUAAAGCGUGCGUAGACGGUUAUUUAAGUCGGGUGUGAAAGCCCCGGGCUCAACCUGGGAAUUGCAUUCGAGACUGAAUAGCUAGGGUACGGUAGAGGGAAGCGGAAUUUCCGGUGUAGCGGUGAAAUGCGUAGAUAUCGGAAGGAACAUCAGUGGCGAAAGCGGCUUCCUGGACCAGUACCGACGUUCAGGCACGAAAGCGUGGGGAGCAAACAGGAUUAGAUACCCUGGUAGUCCACGCCAUAAACGAUGAGGACUAGACGUUGGAGGGGUAAGCCUUUCAGUGUCGUAGCUAACGCGCUAAGUCCUCCGCCUGGGGAGUACGGCCGCAAGGUUG